rnacentral:rRNA from 1 species
CUACGGGAUGCACCAGUGAGGAAUAUUGCACAAUGGGGGGAACCCUGAUGCAGCAACGCCGCGUGGAGGAUGACGCAUUUCGGUGUGUAAACUCCUUUUAUAUGUAAAGAAAAUGACGGUAGCAUAUGAAUAAGCGCCGGCUAACUCCGUGCCAGCAGCCGCGGUAAUACGGAGGGCGCAAGCGUUACUCGGAAUCACUGGGCGUAAGGGACGCGUAGGCGGGUUGAAAAGUCAGGUGUGAAAGCCUACAGCUUAACUGUAGAACUGCAUUUGAAACUCUCAAUCUAGAGUAUGGGAGGGGCAGAUGGAAUUAGUGGUGUAGGGGUAAAAUCCGUAGAUAUCACUAGGAAUACCUAAAGCGAAGGCGAUCUGCUGGAACAUUACUGACGCUAAGGCGUGAAAGCGUGGGGAGCAAACAGGAUUAGAUACCCCUGUAGUC